rnacentral:rRNA from 1 species
UACGGGGGGCAAGCGUUGUUCGGAAUUACUGGGCGUAAAGAGCGUGUAGGCGGUCCGGUAAGUCCGCUGUGAAAGUCGGGGCUCAACCCUCGAAUGCCGGUGGAUACUGUCGGGCUAGAGUGCGGAAGAAGGCGAGUGGAAGUUCCUGGUGUAGCGGUGAAAUGCGCAGAGAUCAGGAAGAACACCGGUGGCGAAGGCGCUCUGCUAGGCCGCAACUGACACUGAGGGACGAAGCUAGGGAGCGAAUGGG